rnacentral:lncRNA from 1 species
GUCAAGGUGCUCCCCAGCCCAAAAGAGUCUCCAGCUCCCAUCCCCACAGGUGGUGGGGCCAGGGUGGGGCCCAGCAGGGGCUUGGCAUGGCCUGGCUGGGGCCUCUUUCCCCGUGCUGGGCUCAGCUCAUCCUUCUCACAGGUGGACCUGCAGCUGCAGGGGCUCUCGCGCUCCAUCUCCUCCUCAUCCUCACUCAGUGGUAUGUCUGUGCAGAUCCUUCCUGUCUCCCCAAGCCCCACACAGGGCAGGUGAUGGCCUCAGCCAAGCCCAGAGGGUCUCAGAGGACACGUCCUGCCCUGGCUGAGCCUGGCUGUCACCCCUGUGCCACAGACCUGAGCUGCACCAGUCCCAGCCUCUCUGUGCAGUCCCCUGUCCUGCCGCUGCUGAGCCGCUCCCCAUCAGAGACCAACCUGGCCAGUCCUGUGGAGCCACUGGGAGCCCCAGUGCCCCUGAGGUCCCCCACAGGCUCAGCCUCCGUGACUCCCUCCUGGCUCACGUCAUCACCAGCACUGACACCAACACUGACUCUCCAGAAGACCCCAGGGGGGCCUGUCCCCCCAGCCCUGCCCCAAGCCCUCCUGUCCCCCCAGGCUGUCCCCACAUCCCCUGUUCCCUGGGAGCCCAGCAGUCCCCUGACACCCCCUGUGACCAGCACACCCUUGUCCCCCACCACCCCCCUCUUGUCCCUGGCCAAUGUCUUCUCUCUGGCAGUGAUGACCGUGGCUCACACUGUCUCCUCCAUUGUCAGCUCAGGUGGGCACUUCUACCCACCAGCACUGCCACGGCCACAGAGUCUUGUCCAGGGUGCCCCACGCUUUGUCUACCCUGACCCCAGCAGCACAGACAGGCCAGUCCCACCUGGCAGUGGGGUCCUGGAGUCAGUGGGAGCUGAUGUCCCCCCUGCUGGGGUGCCCACACCCUCCCUUCCCUUGGCACCAGCCCCAGUGAGCCCCACAGGCAGCGAGGCCGUGGGGACCCCUCUGCCAUUGCUGAGCACAUCCACAGCUGGGAGUCCAGAGGGCAGCACGGUGCUGCCUGGUGCCCCCAAGCCCAGCCACUCUCUGAUCAUCUCGGAGGCACCAGCCCCCAGCGUGCCCAAGGCCCAGCUCUCACCCAUCAAUGAAGGUAAGGUGGGGCAGGGCCAGGGCUGUGCCUGUGCCAGGGCAAUGCCCCGGCCAGCCCGUGUGCCCUGAGCCCCACCAGCUCCCCUGUCCCCAGCAGAAGCCAAGCCCCAGGUCCUGGGCCGGUUCCAUGUGAUACCAGCCAAGGACCUGCCUGUGACCUCUCCGGGGCGGGGCAGCAGUGACGGGGAGCAGCACAGCACGGAGGCAGCAGCGAGCGGCUCCCC